rfam:Aphanomyces invadans strain NJM9701 unplaced genomic scaffold supercont1.55, whole genome shotgun sequence.
GCCUCGUUAGCUCAGAUGGUAGAGCGUCCGCUUCGUAUGCGGAAGGUCCCGGGUUCGAUCCCAGGCGACGGUA